ACAGGGGUGGGGACUUGUCAUGGGGGUGGAGCUUUGUGAUGGAAUUAGUGCUCUUGUAAAGGGACCCCAGCAUUAUCCCUUGCCCCUUCCACCAUGUGAGUCUGACCUGAAUCUCCCUCACCCCUUCUACCACGUGAGGACACAGAGAGGAUUCAGACCCGAAUCUCGUGAUGCCUCCAUAUCGGGCCUCCAGAACCGAGAAGUAAAUGUCUGCCGUCUGUGACAGCAGCAUGCCCAGAUGGAGACAGCCUCACUGACUUACUAAUUUCUACUCCUUACCUGAAGAGGCACAGAAUUAUGCUUCCUGUUGCAAGGGACAUCAGAGAGACACUGUAGCCCAGGGUGUAAAUGGCCUUCACCAGAAUAUAAAACGUGAUCUACAAAGAAAGAAAAUGGAUCUGUAAGCUGAUGGUGACUGGCAGCAACACCAGACAAUGGGAACGGUUCCAACAUCCAGCCCUGUGCUCUGGCCAUGAAGGACUCUUGCCUGCCUGGAAGGCAUGAGACAGUCUCACUUUAUAAUUCCACCUCCAUCUUGAACCAAAAAAUGAUACCCACCACUCAGAACAUCCUCUUUUUUUCUUGUAUUUCAUCAUGAAUGACUUUGGAUGGUUUCCGUAAAGCACCUCUGUGUGGAGGGAACAUGACCCACCACCAUCAGGGAAAGCAAGGGAAGAAGCGCUGAGCUAAGUUCACAAAGAAAGCUCAGUCUGUCCCCAAGGCAGCACAUCCAGCCUUCUGAUACUUCAAGUGGACACACAAGUCUGAGUAUGUUAAACGCUAUGACCUCCAGGCGCAGGGUGAGGUGCUCCAGACAGAGGGAGUUGCCUAAGCCAUAGCCAGCUGCUAAGCUGCAGUAUCUUGGGAAUUUUAUUUUCUUAACAUUUCUUGGUUUAGCAAGCUUCAUGGCUUGAUACUUUUAAUCUCUACAAAAUCAUCAGGCACAUGAGGCAUUCAUGAUCAUCACAGUGGCAGAAUCACUGACAACAGGGAAUCCUACACAGAAAGAACUGGGUCCUCUAGAAGGAAAACCAGUGCCAGUCCUGAUAAAACCAGCAACACCUGCAGGGCCUCAUCAUUGCUCACCACUCCCAAAAGCCACUUCCUGAUCUGCAUUUUCCUUGAUAAAGCUAAUUCCUAUAAAAUAAAGAGGUAAACAAUCCAUGUGUGCUUAUAUGAUGAAUUUUAUUUUUGCCACGAGGUCCUAAAUCUGUAUAGAUAAAAC